GAAUUAUCUGCUUCACUCCUUAUCAAGGACUGCCUCAGAUUUUCAACUUCUUCUUCUAGCUCUCUCUUUUUCAGCAGUAUGUCUUGGAACAUCCGACGAAGUCGUUGGCUUUCGUUCUCCGCCUCUCGACACCUCUUUCUCAGGACCUCAGAUUCUGUCUCCACAUCCUUGACUGCCCGCUGCUCGUACACCAGCUGGAUCUUCAAUUGCUGCAGCUCGGCCUUCCCCUCUCCAAGAGCGACGGAUAGUUCU
rnacentral:lncRNA from 1 species